GAUGAACGCUAGCUACAGGCUUAACACAUGCAAGUCGAGGGGCAGCACAGUGUAGCAAUACACGGGUGGCGACCGGCGCACGGGUGCGUAACGCGUAUCCAACCUUCCCGUUACUCUUGGAUAGCCUUCCGAAAGGGAGAUUAAUACAAGAUGGUAUUCAAAUUCCGCAUGUUAUUUGAAUUAAAGAUUUAUCGGUAACGGAUGGGGAUGCGUGACAUUAGAUAGUAGGCGGGGUAACGGCCCACCUAGUCUACGAUGUCUAGGGGUUCUGAGAGGAAGGUCCCCCACACUGGAACUGAGACACGGUCCAGACUCCUACGGGAGGCAGCAGUGAGGAAUAUUGGUCAAUGGUCGGAAGACUGAACCAGCCAAGUAGCGUGAAGGAUGAAGGUUCUAUGGAUUGUAAACUUCUUUUAUACGGGAAUAAAACACCUUACGUGUAGGGUCUUGUAUGUACCGUAUGAAUAAGCAUCGGCUAACUCCGUGCCAGCAGCCGCAGUAAUAC
rnacentral:rRNA from 1 species